UCCCACUCUGUUGCCCAGGCUGGAGUGUGCAGUGGCACCAUCUCAGCUCACUGCAACUUCCAUCUCCUGGGCUCAAGAAAUCCUCCCAUUUCAGCCUCCCAAGUAGCUGGGACUACAGAAAAGUUUGCUGACGCCUGAUAUGGAGCAUUAGAAAGGAAUUAUUUUUCCAACAAUCAAUCCAGAAGUCCCAGCAUACCGAGGGUGGCGGACAUCAUUUCUUCAAUGAACUUAAUAUUUAGAAAGAUAUCUUCACUCCAAGCAUCAACUGUUUUCUGUCCUGCAAGUCUUAAGUCAAAUCAGAAUCCACUAGUAGAGGGCACCUUUGGAUUCAACAGUAAAAGGAGAAUCUACAAAACCAGCUCAUCAAAAUGGGCAGUAAUGGGUAUGGAAGCCUGACCUUGCUCUAAAUUCAAGCAAUGAUUAAUCUAACUUCCCUCCUUGUGGAUGACUGAGGCCUUUGCCUGAGGACAACUUUAAAGAGAUAUUGAAUGAAGCUAUGAUACCUGUAGCAGUUACUGCCAUUUUGGACCCAUAAACUGACAAUCCUUAAACAUUACCAGGAGGGCAGAGCAGAAAGAACAUUGAUGUCAUCACUGAGCUGCUGGAUUACCUUACUCUAGAAAUACCCAACUCUGCAUGUUUGGUUAUUUUUUUAAAAAGAUAUUCUUUAUUAUUUACAUCAUUUUGAAUGGGCUCUAACUCUACCUCUUAUAGUAAAAAGCAUUUGAACU
rnacentral:antisense_RNA from 1 species